UGUUCAGUUCAUCAUCUCCAGCCCUCACGAUGAUCCAGAGCCGAUAAAAGAGCAUCUUCUUGCCAUUCUGAGAGAAAACGGCUGCUUUGUUAUUGGAUUUUACAAGACUAAUCAAGAACAAUCAUCCAAACUUCAGGAAAAAAGGGAGGUGAGAAUCGGACACUCGCUGAAUAAGAAGGAGGAAGAGUUCGUAGUCAAAAGGGGAGAAACAGUUUUUCAAAGUCUGCAGAAACUCAACAUAGCCUGCA